GCUCAGUGUGUUUAUAUUGGAUAUUAGGAAAAAUGCCUUUCCCAAAGGGCUGUUGAGCCCUGUGCCAGGCUGCCCAGGGAGCUGGGGCAGUGCCCAGCCCUGGAGGGAUCCCAGAGCCGUGGAGCUGAGGUGCUGAGGGACGAUGUUUAAUGGUGGCUGUGGCAGUGCUGGGGGAACAGUUGGACUCAGUGAUCUUAAAUGUCUUUUCCAACCCAAACAAUUCUGUGAUUCCAUGAGGAGUUCAUUCCCAGAGAGCAGCAAAAGGACAGAUGUCUCUAUGACAUGUGGCUGCAUCUGUUUAGGGACCCUGCUCUUCUGGAUGUGAAUAUUUCCACCUAGGUGCUUGGCAUCUCCUCCUGUGGGGUGGAUGUGGUGCUUUCAGGUGCUGCCUGAUGAUUGUGUGUGCCUGUUGAAAGCCCUUUCCCAGGCCAUGGCAGCCUGCAGCCUGCUGUGGCGCCUCAGCCCUGUGUCAGGGGCUUUCUCUAUCUAAAGGCAGUUGGCUGGAUUCUAAUUGUCACCUUUGCUCUCCAGAAGCCUUUAGCAGACAGUUGAUGUCUCACACUGCUUUUCUUGGCUUUGUGUUGAGAUAGAGACAAGUACAGAGUUGGCUGAGAGGCCACCCAAAACCCGGAGGCAGCAGACUACAGAACUAAAGGCAGAUCUGCCCGAGCCUCUGCCUGGAUGCUGCAGCCCUGAGGAGUUUAACCCUUGAGGUUCUGCUGGUGGCAUGACAGGGUUGGUUCUGGUGGGUUUGUCUCUCACUUCUGCAGGAGGAUGAGCCUGCUGAUCCGUUUAAUGAUGAUAAAAAGGAAAGGCACUAUGUGGAGCCUCUGUAAUGUGAUCUGUAUGUGCUUCUCCUUUCAGUUAGGUUGUCCCUUAGAGUGGGCUGCCCAGCUCACAGCCAGUGAAUGCUUGGUUGGGUUCUGCUGCUGCCAGGGGGCUUACACUGAUCUCAUUCCCUUCUCUGUACUGGAGGCCUGUGGUAACUGGGGAGGAAAGGUGCCAAUCUCUUCUGGUUUAGGGUGGCAAGAGGUGCAGAAAGGACCGUAUUGAGGACCUGGCUGACCUGGGGUACGGGUACGACGAAUCCGACUCCUUCAUCGAUAACUCUGAAGCAUACGACGAGCUGGUUCCGGCGUCUCUCACCACGAAGCUCGGAGGGUUUUACAUCAACUGUGGAGCGCUGGAGUUCCGGCAGGAGUCUGACUCUGAAGAUGCCUCUGUUAAAGAGAGGAAGAAGAAGUGUCCCAAGAAUUGGAAGCUGGAAGAUGGAGGUGAAAAAAUGAGGAAGAAGGAAGAUGACUCUUCCAACAAGGAAAAGAAAUCCAGAAAGUCCAAGUUUCCUAAAGCUGGGAAGGACACUCUGCUGAAGCGUUGCCUGUGCUGGGCUUGCUCUGGGCUGGGCAAUGGAAGGAACUUGUGCAGAAGCUGAAGG